GGACCCGCACAAGCGGUGGAGUAUGUGGUUUAAUUCGAUGCAACACGAAGAACCUUACCAGGGUUUGAAAUCAUUUCAAAACUCCUUGAAAGAGGAGCCUCCUUCGGGAUGAAAUGACAGGUGGUGCAUGGCUGUCGUCAGCUCGUGUUGUGAAAUGUCGAGUUAAGUCUCGUAACGAGCGCAACCCAUGUCUCUUGUUGCUCACUGAGUGCUUAAGAGAGACUGCCGACCAACAUCGGAGGAAGGUGUGGAUGAUGUCAAGUCAGCAUGCCCCUUACAUCCUGGGCUACACACGUACUACAAUGGUAAGGACAAUGAGCUGCGAUCCUGCGAAGGCUAGCA
rnacentral:rRNA from 1 species